UACGUAGGGGGCGAGCGUUGUCCGGAGUUACUGGGCGUAAAGGGCAUGCAGGCGGCGCGGUAAGUCGGGUGUGAAAUCUCGGAGCUUAACUCCGAAACUGCAUUCGAUACUGCCGUGCUUGAGGACUGGAGAGGAGACUGGAAUUUACGGUGUAGCGGUGAAAUGCGUAGAUAUCGUAAGGAAGACCAGUGGCGAAGGCGGGUCUCUGGACAGUUCCUGACGCUGAGGCACGAAGGCCAGGGGAGCAAACGGG
rnacentral:rRNA from 1 species